rnacentral:rRNA from 1 species
UAUCGUGCUGAAUAUACCGGUUCUCGUUAGAUCACCGAAGUCAAGCAUCAUUGGGCGCGGUCAGUACUUGGGUGGGUGACCACCUGGGGAACACCGCGUGCCGUU